AUUGCUUCUAGGCCUUUUAGCUAAGAUCAAGCGUAGUAUCUGUUCUUAUCAGUUUAAAACAAUCUCCUCUUUUCUACUAGUUUGAAGGACUAGUGUUUUAAGCACUUGUUUCCAUUCUGAACCUGAUAUAGGUCAGUGAAUAUCAAUACAUUUAAAAUAAAAAUACAUAGUGGGGAACCUGG
ensembl:snRNA U2 U2 spliceosomal RNA